rnacentral:rRNA from 1 species
AUUGAACGCUGGCGGCAGGCCUAACACAUGCAAGUCGAACGAGUGGCGGACGGGUGAGUAAUGUCUGGGAAACUGCCCGAUGGAGGGGGAUAACUACUGGAAACGGUAGCUAAUACCGCAUACCAUCGCAUCUGCCCCGAUGUGUUUAGCUAGUAUGUGGGGUAACCGCUCACCUAGGCGACGAUCCCUAGCUGGUCUGAGAGGAUGACCAGCCACUCUGGAACGGAGACACGGUCCAGACGCCUACGUGAGGCAGCAGUUGGGAAUAUUGCACAAUUGGCGCAAGCCUGAUGCAGCCAUGCCGCGUGUAUGAAGAAGGCCUUCGGGUUGUAAAGUACUUUCAGUGAGGAGGCGUUACUCGAAGAAGAAGCACCGGCUAACUCCGUGCCAGCAGCCGCGGUAAGAG